GAUGAACGCUAGCGGCAGGCCUAAUACAUGCAAGUCGAACGGUGUCUUCGGACAUAGUGGCGCACGGGUGCGUAACACGUAUGCAACCUACCUUACAUUGGGGGAUAGCCUUUCGAAAGGGAGAUUAAUACCGCAUAAGACAGUAGCUGGGCAUCCAGCAGCUGUUAAAGAUUUAUCGAUGUAAGCUGGGCAUGCGUCCAAUUAGCUAGUUGGUGAGGUAACGGCUCACCAAGGCAAUGAUUGGUAGGGGAACUGAGAGGUCAAUCCCCCACACGGGCAGUGAGAUACGGGCCAGACUCCUACGGGAGGCAGCAGUAGGGAAUAUUGGGCAAUGGACGCAAGUCUGACCCAGCCAUGCCGCGUGCAGGAUGAAGGCGUUAUGCGUUGUAAACUGCUUUUAUACAGGAAGAAACGACUCUUGCGAGAGGCAUUGACGGUACUGUAUGAAUAAGCACCGGCUAACUCCGUGCCAGCAGCCGCCGUAAAAC
rnacentral:rRNA from 1 species